rnacentral:rRNA from 1 species
AGCGAACGCUGGCGGCAGGCUUAACACAUGCAAGUCGAACGGGCGUAGCAAUACGUCAGUGGCAGACGGGUGAGUAACGCGUGGGAACGUACCUUUUGGUUCGGAACAACCCAGGGAAACUUGGGCUAAUACCGGAUAAGCCCUUACGGGGAAAGAUUUAUCGCCGAAAGAUCGGCCCGCGUCUGAUUAGCUAGUUGGUGAGGUAACGGCUCACCAAGGCGACGAUCAGUAGCUGGUCUGAGAGGAUGAUCAGCCACAUUGGGACUGAGACACGGCCCAAACUCCUACGGGAGGCAGCAGUGGGGAAUAUUGGACAAUGGGCGCAAGCCUGAUCCAGCCAUGCCGCGUGAGUGAUGAAGGCCCUAGGUUGUAAAGCUCUUUUGUGCGGGAAGAUAAUGACGGUACCGCAAGAAUAAGCCCCGCUAACUUCGUGCCAGCAGCCGCGGUAAU